UUGGCUUGGGGGCUCGGUGCUGAGGAGGAGGAGCGGGGAGAACUGGAGUAGGAUGGUAGGAACAUGCAGCCUCUUUGAUGGAGAUGGUAAACAGGAAGAAUCGCCCUGGCAGCUGGGCUCCCGGUUUAGACGUGUGACGAACGAGGCAGGUAUCAGCUUCUCGGGGAAGAGCCGAUGGCGACCGCACCUACCUGGAUCAGACCUACUUGGAUCAGGCCUCCUGGAUCAGGCCUCCUGUUCCAGUACUGCAGCUGGACUGUAUGGCUGUAUGAAGCACGGCCAUGGGCUGUUCCAGGCUCCUACUGGGCAGAACCAGGCCACAGGUUUGCACAGAGUGAAAGCUGGAGUUUGUGCAUCGGCUAGAG